CUCUCGAGGGAAAGUCCAAAGAGGACAAUGUCUAGCGCUUGGUUUCUUCAAGGGGAAUAACAAUGCGCUUUCCUUUGACAAGAAGGUGGACAAGUUUCCAGAGCUGGCCAAAAGAUCAUAAUCGAGGUGUCUUGAACAAGGAUGUUGUACCAGAAACCUCAUGUACUAGAAAACUCAAAAGAACAGCAUUUGAUGUUUUGUCUCCUGACAUUUCUACACCAAACAUGGCCGUGGAACUUAUAGAUCACAGGAAUGAUGAAUUUGAAGGGGUCAUCAUUAAUUCCCAGAGCCUACCCUCUUCUGCAAACACUUUUACAUCAGCUCUCCAAGCAUCUCUCUUCCCUCGAAGGUGGAGAAACCUCUCCCUAACAGAAUCAUUUUAAAAACCUUGAGGGUAAGCCAGAAAGAGAAAGCUUAAAGAGGACAAUACCACGGUUUGUACUGUUACACAAAGUCCGAGGAAAGUAGAGUUUCUUCGUCUUUUUAAUACCACGGUUUCUCUUGGGAACUCUGCACUUUGAACCAUUUUUUUCCCGUGCAGGGAAAAGAGGGCUAUGGCUCAAAUUACAUACAGAGCAGGCUGAAGUUGUUCUUGUGGCUAUUAAUGUGAGAUAUUAACUGAUGUUUUGAUUUCAUGGGUAUUAUUAGAUAUUUUAGAGUUGUAAUUUUCAGGAGGGGUUCAACUAUCAUCAUGCUGAAGCAGGGUAUGCCAUGCUCACUUUCUGGAUUCCUGAUCUGUCCUCCAUGCUUUCUUCUGACUCCUCGCAUCAUUUUGGCGCUGCAGCAUUCCUCAUCAAUGACAACAAGGAGGUACCUUUUUCUACUUUCUUAUUGAUAUCAUCAUACCAUUCACUAAGCAUUUGGUUCAUGAGUGUACGGCGCUGCUUAAAUUGGUGUACCACAUGUUCUCGUGGGCUGUCUGGUAAGUCAAAGAAGAAACUGGAGUUAGCCAUCUGAUAUAUAACCUAUAGUCUGUUCUUGGAAAUUCUGUUCUAUUAUCAGUCAGUAAGAGCAAAAGAAGGAAUAAAACGGAAUUUGAUUUGCUUGAUAAGACUGUUGGUGUCUGUGUUUUCUGUUCUCCUUCUUCUUCUUCAUGUUUCAGGCAUUGCCACCUUGUGGCCUUUUGAGGACUUGAAUUUGCUGUUGAUUUACAAGGAAAGUCAAGCUAAACUGCAAAGGUAUAAUAUUAAAGCCCCACUUUCAAUAUUUUCUCUAAUAUUUUCAUAUUACAAACAUAAUUAUGGUUUAAGUAUGAUCUGGAUUCUUGGAUUCUUGGAUUCUUAUCCAUUAAUUUUAAGUUUAACCCUUCAAUCAUAACUUCAUUAAAAAAUCAACGGUCUAUUAUAAAAUUUUGAAAACUUAAUAACCAAAACAGAGUAGGUAUAAUAAAGUACAAUUUAUCAACUAAAUACCAGAUUUCCUUUUCCUUUUGAGUAUAUUAGUAGAAAUUUGAAGAGAAGUGGAUCAAAACUUGAGUACAACCAUUUGGUUCCUGUUCAUUCUUGUUUCAUUCUUUCUUUCGUCUUUGUUUACCUCCUGAAAUAAAUCCAUAGGGUCACCACAAAUUCGAGUUCCUUUUGCAUUUCCUUCUAGAUCAAUUUGCUUGGCUCUUCUCCUUGGACGAGAAGUUUAAGAAAACUUAGGAGGACAUAUACAAUGAGUCAAAGGAGAAGGAGAAUGCAUCGAGAGUGUUUACAGGAGAGUAAAAGAGUGAAAGAAAGGCUAAGGUGAGCUUGCGAAUAAGUAAGCAAGCACAACUCAACUCUUCUCUGAAAAAGUCUCUAAACUCAAAAUGGUGAGAUAUUUGUACCAGCAAGGAUACUGGCCUCGAAGAGGGAGUGAAUUGUGAAAUCUUACAUUAGUAGACUCGUUUACAAGGGUGUCCUUUUCAUAGUAGACUCGUUUUAAAAACCUUGAGAAGAAGUCCGACAGGAAAAGCCUAAAAAAAACAAUAUCUACUAGCAAUGAUCUUGGACUCUUACACGAAGAACAAUUGAAGCUUAGAUAUUAAUAGGGUGGAUGAUUAAAAAAGGGCAUGAAUCUCUACUGUAAAGGAUAUGGAA